rnacentral:lncRNA from 10 species
UACAUACCAGGGCUUCUUGCCUACAAGACUUCAAACCAAGGUACCGUAUUUGAAAUGCCCAAUUUAAAUCCUGUGCAACAUACAUGAGGGAAUAACAUUUUGUAACCAAACCCAAAUCGUAGAAUCUUUGAUAAAACCCCAAGAGCACCACACAAACACAUUCUCAAUUGCUUUUAAUAUAUUUUCCUCUGUAAAGGACAAAAAAUGCUGUGCUUGAGGCAAUAAUCAGUGGCCUAGAAUGAUUUCUGAAGCUCUUGACUUUACCAUAAAAGUUGUACUAAGACACUGAUUGAAAAUUACAUUUCAAAUAUACCGCUCACUAAAGAAAUGUCAACAAGCUCUGGGACCAACUUUGAGUUAUUGUCCAAGGAAGACUAAAAAUAGCCCCCCAAUAGCGAUUUAAUUUUAAGAAAAUACAAAAGUAGCUUAUUUAGGAGUAUUUUAAUGAAGAUGAAGAGAACUGGAAAUCAGUGAAGUUUUCAGCAGCCUCUUCAGAUAAGACCUACCUUAAAUUGCCUUCAGGUGUGCACAUUUUAACAUCCAGUGAAUUGCCUGGAGGUUGCCUGGGGUUUCUGCUGAUUAUAGCAGGCGGUGAAACCUGAACUAAUAAUUACGGCCAGGAGGUGAGAGCCCUUCAGGACGCCACCCUGGGCGCGCUCCCCGGGAGCAGCCCACCGCUUGCUGUGCUUCCAUCAGUCCUUUAUUAGGUAAAGGGUUUCCCCCCACCCCGGGUGCUUUAAGAAUGCGUUUAAUAAGAAAUUUCUCACAGGAUCUAACGGAAUAAAGUGCCACCAAAAUAACCUUUUCGCAGUUUUCGUAAUUGUGAUGGAGUGGGAAAGGGGACAAAGCCGUCAAACCGGGUGCCCGGUGGAUCCGCGGACCUGAUCUUCCUGCACGGACCCGAGAGAGAGUCCCUAGACGAGGAAGAGGGGAAAGGCAUUUGUAGGGUGUUAACUGGUGGACUCGGGACCAGAGAGACAGCUGCGGAUUCCCCUCGGGGUGAUGCUCCGUGCAGGAGCGGUCACGGCGUCCAGAGGAACCCGCGGGUGCAAACUCCGGGAGCGGCUUGCAGGGUGACGGCGGCGGCCCCCGCUCCCCGGUACCUGAUGAUGUCGUCGCUGUGGCCCCGGUAGAACUUCUGCCUGUGCUCCCGCGGGCUGUACACCACGCCGACCCCCGCCACGAAGUAUACGAUCUCCUUGGCCGCAGUGUAGUAGAGGUUGUUGCGGCACUGGUGGCCCCGGUAGCCGUACACCCACUCGAGCCGCAGGUGGCAGCUCGGGGCGCUCCGGGCCGCCAUGUCGGGGCGCCCACCCGCCGCUCCCGCUCGGGCCCGCGGCGGCGACGGGAGGCGGGAGGAAAACCCUCGCCUCGCGGAACAUGCUGAGGGCCGCGAGCGCCGCCGGCUGUCAAGUGGAUGCCCAGAGCCCUUCGCCCGCCUCGGCUCGCCUAGUCUCCUCAGCCCGUAGCGCCUGGGCCGAGAGCGAGGGCCCGCCUCCA